GACAGCGGCUGCUCAGGCACCCGCACGGACCCCGUCUCGGACACCCGGGCAGGGCUUUUUCAAUUUCAAACAGCUGCGAAUAAUGAGAUGCCUUUCAUUCGGGGUUGGGUUCUUUGCCCGUUUUCCAUUGCAGUUGCAAGUUCUUAAAAAGUCAUCUUUAUGGAAAGAAAAAGUUAUCGUAGAUAAGAAGAUCCCCCUAAUGAUCUGGAAAGCAAGGCAUAAAUGAAGGAAAUCUCCUGCUACUGGAGGACCAGCAAGGAAGAAGAUGUAACAGCAGUGGAAAACAAGAGGAGAUAUGCAAACUACUGGUUUGUUCUGCCUCCUUAGUCUUUGGAAGCAACUUUGUACCAUUUUUGAGGGUUUUUCUAGAGUUCAGUCUACUGUUCUGUGAAACACUCACCCGAUUUCAGGUGCCAUUCAGUGGCAUUUCAGAAUUUCCUUUCAAAGCUCAUUAUAAUUUGCUAGUCUAUUGCCUGUAGACAAGGUUACACUUUGUGGUUCAAUAUUAGUCUGUAAACAUUGUUUGCAAUAUACGAUGUUUGUAAACAUUGCUGGAUGCUCUGAAAGUCAUAAUCAGGAGACUAGAUGGAGCACUGGAGAGGUCA
rnacentral:lncRNA from 1 species